rnacentral:lncRNA from 1 species
AAAUUAAGUUCUAGGUAAUACACUGUAAGCAAGCCUGAAAAGCUGAGAAAUCUGUGAGCUUAUGCUGUUUGAUCAGUAGGUAGAUGGGACUGAGAUACGUAAUACAUAUUAGAGAAUGUAGGAAGAGUUGUGGGGGAGUAACUGAAAGGUUAACACAGUGGUCCCCUCUUCCAGACUCUGAUUUCUAAAGUUUAGACGUUAAACUGCUGGGCGACGUUUUUCUUCACUAAGCCCCAAAGCCAGAGUGAAGAUAUUUUAGGGAAAGUUGUAAGGUUUUGUGGUUUGUAGCUCUUUCAGGUGUUGGGAUGAUUUUAUGAGUUUGGUGUUAUUGGAUGACUUAUUCAGCUUGGAAAAUAAACACUCUGCAGUCUUUGUUUGUUUUACAGAUGGAGUGAGAAAUACACAGCCCGGGGAGCUGGAUCACAUCCCUGACUUCACUUAACGCAGCCACGAGGUCUUCCUGCAUUAGUACUGGAUAAGAGCAAGGGGUUGCGUAUAUCUCUCCUUUCCAAUCUGCCUUGCUGCAUCUCGAGAAGGGUGAGAAGCCCCCACGCUGUGGCACGAGACUCAGAGACCCUGGGCUGGGCCAGCUCAGCCUCCACCCCGCCUGGUGUCCCUCGUGUCCCAUCCCAAACAUGGGCCCACAGGGGGCACCUGCGACAGCCUGCAAUAACAGCGCGGGUAUCUAGUAUUAUUACUUUUUCAGCCUCGAGGAUUAGCACCUCAGGGACUUCCUGCACCAGAAAUGUCUGUUGUGAGCCAAUUUAAGAGGAGGCUUGACAGCUAUUGUGGAAAAGAAAUGUUGCUGGCACUGCCACUCCGUGUGCUAUCAGUUUGACUUCAUGCAUCCAAGGAUUAUGAUUUUUGAAACCACAGAUGUCUGCGGCUUGGCUAAUAACAGACAGGCUUGUCGGCUACCCUGUGUCGAGGAUAACUGCAUCUCCCUGGGAAGCAGCGACUGAAGAGCCAGAGUUGCAUCCUCACACUGUGAGAUUUCUAAUUAACUGCAGCACCCAAAGCAGGCCAGCCUGAAAUCAAUAUAAUAAGCCGCUAUCAAUGGGAAAAAUCCUCAAACCCGCUAGUAAUUUAGAAACAGAAACAAUGUGGGAGUAUUGGAAAACUGUAUGUUAUCAUCUUUCAGAGGCUAUUGAAUAGUUUUGCAGGAUUUUGAAUGGAAUAAUGCAGUUUUAUAGAACUCAACUAUUGGGCUUCUCCCAUCACACGGUUAUACUGAAUCACGUAAGGAAUUGUGCUGUGCUAUAGAUAAAAGUGCCUGAUGUGCAUAACAUAUUGUAAUGUGAAGAAUCUGAUACAAUAUUGCAAUACCAUGUUAGAUUUUUGUCAGCUUUUCAUUAGCGUUCAGUGAACUGCCCAAGGUCUCACACCAAGGCCCAGUGCUCUGCUGUGCUACUGCGGCUGUGUUCCUGCCUGCUGCCCUGCGCUAAUGCCCAGGUGUGCCUCGUUCAGUAACGAGCCUCCACCUCCCUCAUGCCCUCAUACCACAGAGAAGGCUAGGUGGGCUUCUCAUCUCCUCUUUGGCAAUCCCAUGCUCCUGUCUGCCGUGAGGGCCUGGUAAAGCAAAAGACUGUCAGGAAUCCAAGCUGCCACCUGCAAGUCUGACCAUUUGGUUAAAGGGCCCCAAAUAUUCAGAUGCUGAGGUGGAGUGAAAAAAGUCACAAGUCGUAGAGCUGCUAAUGCUCUGGAUCAUUGUCUGUUGAACCCUGGUUCACGGCUGAGAAGGCAACACCUGCACUUCUGGUUAUGUGUUGUUCUUAUCCUCAGACCUGCGUAGCAGUUGCCAAACUGGAGCUCUCAGGUAAUGUUAGUUGUAAAAAAUAUAGGUUCUUCCUUCAAGGGAAGUGAAAGUGUUUGAUACAUUUAAAUGGAGAAUGAUUGGCGAAAGUAGCCAUGGACAAGGCUCAGUCCUCUCUUCUGUUAUAUUAUUUGUUCAAUUAUUUGAGAGUGCAGUUAGAUACUUCCAGUGAGCACAAGUGCAGCCUCUUGGGUACCUUCUGUGCUAGGCUUGAAUGCCACUGGCUCUCUUUUGCUGCCUGGCUACAAUAAACUCUAGAUAAAUGUGUUUAACA